CCUACGGGUGGCAGCAGUGGGGAAUAUUGGUCAAUGGGCGCAAGUCUGAACCAGCCAUGCCGCGUGCAGGAAGACGGCUCUAUGAGUUGUCAACUGCUUUUGUACGAGGGUAAACGCAGAUACGCGUAUCUGUGUGCAAGGAUCGUACGAAUAGAGAUCGGCCAACUCCGUUCCAGCAGCCGCGGCAAUACGGAGGAUUCAAGCGUUAUCCGGAUUUAUUGGGUUUAAAGGGUGCGUAGGCGGUCGGAUAAGUUAGAGGUGAAAUCCCCGGGCUCAACUUCGGAAUUGCCUCUGAUACUGUUCGGCUAGAGAGUAGUUGCGGUAGGCGGAAUGUAUGGUGUAGCGGUGAAAUGCGUAGAGAUCAUACAGAACACCGAUUGCGAAGGCAGCUUACCAAGCUACUUCUGACGUUGAGGUACGAAAGCGUGGGGAGCAAACAGGAUUAGAUACCCCUGUAGUC
rnacentral:rRNA from 1 species